rnacentral:misc_RNA from 1 species
GGAGGGAUCACUAUAGAAAAAAACUUUACCACCAGGAGGGGGGGGGAACAGAACAGGGGGAAGGAAAUGCUUUUUCUGUUCCUGUUCUUCUUCUUUUCCUGGACAAACAAUAACACACACGACUAGGAAAAGGAGGGGAGGGGGGGAGAUGUGAUUUGGUUCCCAACCCUCUCAUACACACAAGAAGAAGUUAUUGUCUGAUAAGUAGCUUACUGAUUUGGUCAGUUACUACACAUCAAUACAACUUUCAACAACGGAUCUCUUGGCUCUCACAUCGAUGAAGAACAUAGCAAAGUGUGAAAAUUAGUGUGAAUUGCAGAAUUCAGUGAAUCAUCGAGUUUUUGAACGCAUCUUGCACUCCUUGGUAUUCCAGGGAGUAUGCCUGGUUGAGUAAUGUCAACCAAUCUAAUCAAUCUCUUGAUUGUAGAGUACAAGAGAGAUUGGAGUUGAGUGCUUUACCUUGGCUUGAUUGACAAGGUUCACUUGAAAUGCAGGGGAGAACAAGAACAAGAACAAGAAUCCCUGAGAUGAGAUGAGAUGAGAAAUCUCUCAAGGAUAGUGUGGCAUGGAGACUUGUUCCAUCUAACAAAUGACUUGAUGAAAAGAGAUAAUUUGAUUUGUCUCAUCUCAAAAAGUCUUGCUUGGAAAAGUCUCGACGCGCGCUUUGUGAGUGGGGCUCUCUGCUCUGCUAGAAUCAGCAACAUAACAUGCUCUCUUGCUCCUCUUGUUUCCAUAACUAGGGACAGACUUGGCUCUGAAUCUGAAUCUGAAUCUUCAUUCUCAACUCAGGCAAGACUACCCGCUGAAUUUAAGCAUAUAAAUAAGCGGAGGAAAAGAAACUAACAAGGAUUCCCUUAGUAACGGCGAGUGAACCGGGAAAAGCUCAAAUUUGGAAUCUACCAAGAGUAACCUUCUUGGUCGAAUUGUAGUUUCAAGAAAGAAAGGCUGAGAGGAGCCGAAUUAGAUGCAAGUUCCUUGGAACAGGACAUCAGAGAGGGUGAUAAUCCCGUCCACCAUCUAAUCGUUUGCACCUCAUCAAAGGCCUUCUUUUCAAAGAGUCGAGUUGUUUGGGAUUGCAGCUCAAAAUGGGUGGUAAAUUUCAUCUAAAGCUAAAUAUGGGUGAGAGACCGAUAGCGAACAAGUACCGUGAGGGAAAGAUGAAAAGCACUCUGAAGAGAGAGUGAAAAGUACGUGAAAUUGUUGAAAGGGAAACGCUUGAAGCCAGUCAAGGUUUUCUAGAGGUCAGAAGGGUUGGAUUGGGCGGGUCAAGUAUUAUGAUUAGUCUCUUUGGGCUAACUUUGUAUUUGAUUCUUUGCUGCUCAGUUCACUUUUUGUAUGUCUCUAGUUAACAUGUCAACAUCAGUUUGGCUUGUUUGGGAAAAAGAUAACAGGAUUUGGUUGGAUUUUGAUAGGGUUUCGGCCCGUCAAGGUUCGAGCCUGCUUAUCAUGAUACCAAAUGCUAGACUGAGGGUGGCAGUACAGAGCAUUGUCUUGGACUAGACAGUCUUGUGGUGAGACUAGGGAUAAACAGCCUAGCUGAUUAUUCCAGUCCUUCACCAAAGUCCUGUCCUAUCUUUGCAGGCUCUCUGACUUUGGAUGUUGACGAAAUGGCUUUAAACGACCCGUCUUGAAACACGGACCAAGGAGUCUAACAUGGAUGCGAGUAUUUGGGUGAUCAAACCCAUCUGCGUAAUGAAAGUGAUAUUCUCCCAAGGGUAGGAUACCGUUGGAGAGGGGAAACCCCUCCGCGGUUGCACUACCAACCGAUCUUGACUAGCUUCGGCUUGAUAGAUUCGAGUAAGAGCAUGUAUGUUGGGACCCGAAAGAUGGUGAACUAUGCCUGAAUAGGGUGAAGUCAGACGAAAGUCUGAUGGAAGCUCGUAGCGAUUCUGACGUGCAAAUCGAUCGUCAAAAUUUGGGUAUAGGGGCGAAAGACUAAUCGAACCAUCUAGUAGCUGGUUCCUGC